rnacentral:rRNA from 1 species
AAACUUAACAAGGAUUCCCCUAGUAACGGCGAGUGAAGCGGGAAAAGCUCAAAUUUGUAAUCUGGCACUUUCAGUGUCCGAGUUGUAAUCUCGAGAAGUGUUUUCCGCGCCGGACUGCAUACAAGUCUGUUGGAAUACAGCGUCAUAGUGGUGAGAACCCCGUAACUGAUGCAGAUGCCCGGUGCUUUGUGAUACACUUUCGAAGAGUCGAGUUGUUUGGGAAUGCAGCUCAAAUUGGGUGGUAAAUYCCAUUCUAAAGCUAAAUAUUGGCGAGAGACCGAUAGCGAACAAGUACCGUGAGGGAAAGAUGAAAAGCACUUUGGAAAGAGAGUUAACAGUACGUGAAAUUGUUGGAAGGGAAACGAUUGAAGUCAGACUUGUUAUCUGGAGUUCAGCCUUUCGGUGUACUCUCCAGUUUACAGGCCAGCAUCAGUUUUUGGGGCGGGAAAAUCGUGAAUUGAAGGUAGCAGCUUAUGCUGUGUUAUAGCUUUUUACUGGAUUCCGCUUUGGGACUGAGGAACGCAGUGUGCUUUAGCAAUACCCUCGGGUAUUCACACUUAGGAUGCUGGUGGAAUGGCUUUAAACGAC